GAUGAACGCUGGCGGCGUGCCUAAUACAUGCAAGUCGAGCGAACGGACGAGAAGCUUGCUUCUCUGAUGUUAGCGGCGGACGGGUGAGUAACACGUGGAUAACCUACCUAUAAGACUGGGAUAACUUCGGGAAACCGGAGCUAAUACCGGAUAAUAUUUUGAACCGCAUGGUUCAAAAGUGAAAGACGGUCUUGCUGUCACUUAUAGAUGGAUCCGCGCUGCAUUAGCUAGUUGGUAAGGUAACGGCUUACCAAGGCAACGAUGCAUAGCCGACCUGAGAGGGGGAUAGGCCACACGGGAACUGAGACACGGUCCAGACUCCUACGGGAGGCAGCAGUAGGGAAUCUUCCGCAAUGGGCGAAAGCCUGACGGAGCAACGCCGAGUGAGUGAUGAAGGUCUUCGGAUCGUAAAACUCUGUUAUUAGGGAAGAACAUAUGUGUAAGUAACUGUGCACAUCUUGACGGUACCUAAUCAGAAAGCCACGGCUAACUACGUG
rnacentral:rRNA from 1 species